rnacentral:rRNA from 1 species
UUGGCCCGCGUUGGAUUAGCUAGUUGGUGGGGUAAAGGCCUACCAAGGCGACGAUCCAUAGCUGGUCUGAGAGGAUGAUCAGCCACAUUGGGACUGAGACACGGCCCAAACUCCUACGGGAGGCAGCAGUGGGGAAUAUUGGACAAUGGGCGCAAGCCUGAUCCAGCCAUGCCGCGUGAGUGAUGAAGGCCUUAGGGUUGUAAAGCUCUUUCACCGGAGAAGAUAAUGACGGUAUCCGGAGAAGAAGCCCCGGCUAACUUCGUGCCAGCAGCCGCGGUAAUACGAAGGGGGCUAGCGUUGUUCGGAAUUACUGGGCGUA